UCUGGUUAGUUUUAUUGAAUUUUCCCCACCAACAGCUUCGAUCUCUCUCCUCCUUCUUCGGUUCUAAUUUUCGCCCCUCUCGCUCGAUCUGGCGAUUCGGCGAUCCGGCGAGUGCUCUGCAUGAGAUCAUCCCUGUCGGUCGGAGGAUCUCCGAGGUGAGAAGACCCUCGAGGCCGCCAUGGAGGAGACCGAGCCCCUCGAGGCGGCCGAGGCCGAGGUCGCGGCUGCUUCGGACGGGCCACCGGCGGGCGCGUCCACGGCGGCGGGGACCGCGCCGCUGCCGCCCUCGGACGGCUCCUCCACGAUGCCGCAGAUUCGGCAGGUGCGGCACGCGCGGAGCAGCAGCUUCCAGAGGUGGCGCUCGCAGAUGCUGCGGGCGUGGAAGUGGGGCCCAGGCAACGGCGGGAGCGGGCUCGCUGGCGGCGGCAGGGAGCAGAGCCUGAAGGCGAUGGUCAAUUUUGAGAUGAUGGUGAAUCAGAAGCGGCAGUGGUAUCAAAUCAAAGCCAAAGCUAGGGAUCAUAGUCAAAAUAAAGAACCCAUGUCGUUAUAUGAACACUUUUUCAUUGUUGGUCUUCAUUCAAAUGCAAAUGUUGAAGCUGUUGAAGCUGCUUUUGCUAAAAGAAAAAUCUGGGAGUCAGAGGUUGCAAAAUCUGAAAUCUUGGAUCUUAGAAAACAUCAGUAUCAUGGGUGUAUGCCUACUUUGGAACCUCAGAUUCUUUUCAAGUAUCCUCCUGGAAAGAGAGCCACAAUGAGAGAGUAUGAGGUCCCUACUUUCUGCUUUCCCGAAGGUGUUAAGGCUCGCUUGAUUCAGAGAACACCUUCUAUGAGUGAUCUCAAUGAGAUUGUGUUUGGCCAGGAACAUCUUUCAAGCGACGAUUUUGCAUUUGUCUUCUGCUUGAAGUCCUCGGACAAUGCACCAUUAUAUGGUGUUUGCCUCCAUAUUCAGGAGAUAGUUCAGCGGGCACCGGGUAUUUUAGGUGCUGUUUCACCCCUCCCCCAUUCUUCUUGCAAAUCCAGCCGGUUCUUGGUAGCUGCACCACGCUGUUAUUGUCUUCUCACAAGGGUUCCAUUUUUUGAGCUCCACUAUGAGAUGCUCAACAGCAUAAUUGCACAGGAGCGCCUUGACAGGAUAACACAUUAUGUAAGUGAAAUGGCUCUUACGGAGUCUAUUUCACAUGGGGUCUCCUGUUUUGAGCAACUAUCUGAGAAUUCUGAGCAGUUGUUUUCUACUUGGAUGGAUUAUGCUAUACCAGUUGAUACUGUCUCUGGUCUUGUUUCUUCUUCAGUUAUUCCAGUUGAAAGGGAGGUUUCAUCAUCUCCUUAUAGGAGUUUGGAACCACAGUCCCCUGAAAGUGUUUCUGCUAGUGACGCAUCAGAUUUUAGUCAUCUGAGAGAGCUAGACCGGGAAACAAGAAGGACUGGGCCAAUCUAUGAUGACAAUACGUCGGAGACAUCAGGAUCACGCUCUGAUAGUUUUGAAAGAUUAAAUGGAUGCUUUGAGAAUGGGCAUGCAUCACCUGACAUUGGCAUGUCAUACGCUUGUGCCAGUGGUAAACUGCAACGCGUGGAAAGUUUGGAGUCUGUGUACAGUGGUUUGGACAGUUCAUUUAGAAGUGUGGGGUCUGAUGAUGAUGAGGAAGAAGAGUUAAACUCCAAAAAUGAAACCAAUGUUGCCGAUGAAAAAGUGAUGGAGUGGGCUAAGGCAAAUAACAAUGAACCAUUACAGAUUGUUUGUGGCUAUCAUGCUCUUCCUCUUCCCCCACGUGGAGGUGAAAUAAUUUUUCAUCCUCUAGAUCAUUUACAGCCAAUCAAGUAUUGCCGACCUGGGAUGUCAUCUCUUGGGUUGGAUGCUGCAUUUGCUGAUGUAGUUCCUUUGUCACCAAAAGAAGUUAACGAGAUUCUAAAGCCAAGAUUGUUCAACAAGGUUAAUGCACGGUUGGCAGCUGCAGAAGAAGCUCUGGCUCUAUCGAUCUGGACUACUGCUACAAUUUGCCGUGCUUUAUCACUUGAAAGUAUUUUGGCACUCUUAGCUGGAGCUUUAUUGGAAAAACAAGUUGCUGUCAUAUGCCCAAAUUUGGGUAUGCUAUCAGCUAUAGUGUUAUCCAUCAUACCCAUGAUUCGUCCAUUUCAGUGGCAUAGCUUAUUUCUUCCAAUACUACCAAGAAAAAUGCUGGACUUUGUGGAUGCUCCAGUUCCCUAUAUUGUAGGACUAAUGCACAAACCCACUGAUAUUCAGAUGAAAAUAUCCAAUCUUGUACAGAUUAAUGUUUACAAGGAUAAGGUUAAAUCAUGCUCACUGCCUCAACUCCCACGAUACAAAGAACUAAUAUCUGACCUAGGGCCUAUUCAUGCUAGAUUCUCAUCAGAGAAUCCUAUAGCUAAGCGACAUCCAGUUUACAAAUGCAGUGAAGUCCAGGCUGAAGCUGCUAGACAGUUCUUGGAUGCAAUGGCAAGUUACUUGGAAUCAUUUUGUUCUAAUUUGCGCUCUCAUACAAUAACUAAUGUGCAAUCAAAUAAUGACAAGGUGUCACUUCUGCUUAAAGACAGUUUUGUUGACUCCUUUCCAGCCAAGGAUCGACCAUUCAUUAAGCUACUGGUAGACACACAAUUAUUCUCUGUCCUCUCAGAUUCUCGGCUUUCUAGAUACGAGAACGAAUAGAAUUUCUGUGAAGCUCCCAACUUGGAUACCAUGAGCUUUGAGAUGGCAAUCAAGAUAAAAUUAAAAUUCACAUGAGUGGGCCACAUGGUAUAAUAUCAUCGAAGCCUGUACUACAAUGCAAAUUCUUGUCAUUCUGUGCGAUUCUCCAAGCAAUGUGCCAACCUUGAUAAAGAGCUGCAUCAAUUUGAAGCUUAGACAUUUCAUCCAACAACACUAUGAUUCACAGCUUUAUUCUCUCUUGUUUUUUCCUCCCAAUAAUGUGAAUUGCGGCCACUUCCACUCGUCAAAGCCAACGACAAUGUUACUCCAUUCUUUCCCUCUAGCUGUUUAAGUGGUGCGCCUCAAGUCAAAAAUGGUGCAUCUAUGCAAGCACGAAUAUAAAUCUUGCACUUUGGAAUACACUAAUAUUUGUAGUAAAUAUGAAUAAAGUGAUGUUCUAGAUCAUAAAUUCUAGACCUUAAAGUAAUGCACCUGAGUAUAUA